rnacentral:piRNA from 1 species
UGCUGUGACAGAUGUUGGUAUAGUUU